GGAUAACUCGGUAUUGGUAAGCCAACCUACUUGCUAUGUAGCUGUUUUUAACUGUCAGCGUUCGAUUCGCUGGUUAUCCG